rnacentral:tRNA from 1 species
UUAAUUGAAACCAAAACUGAGGUAUAUCACUGUUAAUGAUAUCAAUGAAUUACUUUCCAAUUAAA